AUUGAGAAAGCGGCUGACAAAGAGAAGAAGGGGUAUUCUUAUCCUUUCAACAAAAGUAAUCAUCUGAAGGAGAGUGUGUGUCCGUGUGUGUGUGUGUGUCUGUGUGUUUGGUAGGUUGAGUGGAUUGUUUUAUUUGUGGGGCCAGGAAUUUGAUGGAGCUUCAUUAGUGCAUGUUUUUUUCCUGCAUGUUUCUACUUUACAUGAAAUUACACAUUAGCAUGUGUCACUAUGUAUGUUGUUGAGUGUGUGGGUAGCUAUGUGUGUUUUCAUGUGUGCUCUCUAGUGAGUGUGUGUGUGAGACAGUACCUACAGUUGGAAUGUUCACAAGGCGGCCAUUGUUGUUCAAACAGCCAGCAGCUUUCUCCUUGGCAACCAGAGCUGCUGCAGUAACCCACGGCAACUGUGGAACAGGGGGAGGAGCCAGGAAGUGAGGCCGCAGCACAGAGGCCCCUCUCCAAAACACUGGCCUCAAGGAGCGAUGGGCAGUGGGGAGCAGCAGCCGAGCAAGACAGCAGAGUGUGUAGUGUGUGUUAGAGACAAGUGUGCGUAGUGUAUGUGUUCUGUGUGUGUUUGUGUGUGUGUGUGUUGUGUGUGUAUGUGCAUGGAAUGUGCUGCCAUACUGGCGAUCCAAUGAUCCACAACAGACAGACCGACCCAGACCACAGGGUAAACUCUACGAUCCACAUAGUGGAAGAGAUGAAUGGUCACUAAAUUCCCUGGCUAGAGGCCAGUGACUAGAGGAACACACAGACAGACAGACAAGGAGAGAGAGCUCCUUCACUUCUUCUAAGGGGAUUGCUGGUCCACAAGCCUCUGACUUCACCGUGCCCUCUGUGACAACGCUGUGACAUCACCGUCGCCCCCAGUGGAUGAGCCGCCUGUCUGGACGUCUGCGCUCGGGGGGA